GCGGAUGUAGCUCAAUGGCAGAGCAUCACACUGUGGCUGUGAGGGUUGUGGGUUCGAAACCCAUCAUCCGCCCCA
rnacentral:tRNA from 1 species